rnacentral:rRNA from 1 species
AUUGAACGCUGGCGGCAUGCUUUACACAUGCAAGUCGAACGGCAGCGCGGGCUUCGGCCUGGCGGCGAGUGGCGAACGGGUGAGUAAUGCAUCGGAACGUGCCCAGUAUUGGGGGAUAGCCCGGCGAAAGCCGGAUUAAUACCGCAUACGACCUGAGGGUGAAAGCGGGGGACCGAAAGGCCUCGCACUAUUUGAUCGGCCGAUUUCGGAUUUGCUGGUUGGUUGGGUAAAGGCUUACCAAGGCGACGAUCCGUAGCUGGUCUGAGAGGACGACCAGCCACAGUGAGAAGGAGAAAGGGAACAGACUCGUACGGGAGGCAGAAGGGGGGAAGUUUGGAAAAUGGGGGCAACCCUGAACCAGCCAUGCGGCGGGGGGGAAGAAGGCCUUCGGGUUGUAAACCGCUUUUGUUCGGGAAGAAAUCCUCUGGGCUAAUACCCCGGGGGGAGGACGGAACCGGAAGAAUAAGCACCGGCUAACUACGU